rnacentral:rRNA from 1 species
ACGGAGCGACGCCGCGUGUGGAAGAAGGCCUUCGGUCGUAACCACUGUCGAAGGGACGAUAAUGACGGUACCCGUUGGACGGAAGCCCCGGCUAACUACCGUGC